UUAUCUGAACCUUCGGGGAACGAUAACGGCGUCGAGCGGCGGACGGGUGAGUAAUGCCUAGGAAAUUGCCCUGAUGUGGGGGAUAACCAUUGGAAACGAUGGCUAAUACCGCAUGAUGCCUACGGGCCAAAGAGGGGGACCUUCGGGCCUCUCGCGUCAGGAUAUGCCUAGGUGGGAUUAGCUAGUUGGUGAGGUAAGGGCUCACCAAGGCGACGAUCCCUAGCUGGUCUGAGAGGAUGAUCAGCCACACUGGAACUGAGACACGGUCCAGACUCCUACGGGAGGCAGCAGUGGGGAAUAUUGCACAAUGGGCGCAAGCCUGAUGCAGCCAUGCCGCGUGUAUGAAGAAGGCCUUCGGGUUGUAAAGUACUUUCAGUCGUGAGGAAGGCGGUGUCGUUAAUAGCGGGCUCGUUUGACGUUAGCGACAGAAGAAGCACCGGCUAACUCCGUGCCAGCAGCCGCGGUAAUACGGAGGGUGCGAGCGUUAAUCGGAAUUACUGGGCGUAAAGCGCAUGCAGGUGGUUUGUUAAGUCAGAUGUGAAAGCCCGGGGCUCAACCUCGGAAUAGCAUUUGAAACUGGCAGACUAGAGUACUGUAG
rnacentral:rRNA from 1 species